GUUGCGGUGGCCGAGGGGUUAAGGCGUUGAACUAGAAAUCCAAUGGGAUCUUCCCGCGCAGGUUGCGAAUCCUGCCCGCAACG
rnacentral:tRNA from 2 species